GAAAAAAGUAAUGGACAAAUAGACUAAAAAUAAAAAUCUUUUCGGAUUUUCAAAUACAAAAUAGGAAGUACUAUAACAAAAGACUCGACAAACACUUCAUUAGACUGAUAGACUCGAUACUACUAUGCAAGACUAAUAAUUAAAAGACAACAUAAAAUAGACUAAAAAAUAAAAAGUUUCCUCAACAAGUUCGCAUGUAAUGGUCUUGGCUAGAAUGGUCCUGGGGUAUUUGUCAACCUCAAACUUUAGAAAAUUGAUCCAUACCUGAAUGGGAAAAUAAGAUCAAACAGAGUUAGUGACUAACGACACAUGUGAAGCUACGGUGCCUUCUAUUGGACACAUGCAAUGCAUGAUUAAGGCUAUUAUUGCAAAAUGACCUACGUAGCCAAAAUGUGGCAAUUAGCGCAUACUCAACAAAGAUGAACUCAAAGAUAUGGACAUAUUUCACUAAGGCUUAUAUGUAUUCAGACUCUCAAUAAUCAUGGCCCAAAAUUAAGUUGCAGAAAUGAGCCAUUUUGCAAAAAUGGCCAAUAUGGCCAGAAGUGGCCAAAGAUGCAAACUCAAAAAGGAAGGAUCUUAAAGUAAUAUGACACUUAGUUGUGGACUUAAAUCCUAAAAUAUGGGUAAUUGAACUACUUUUAAUAAUCUCAUUUUGCAAGAAUAGCCGAUUAGGCAAAAAACGGCUAGACAUGUACAUUUAACAGAAAUAGACCUUAGAAUUGAGAGGACACUUUUUUUGUAGACUCAGGGUUCUAAGACACGAGAUAACAAACUACUUUGAUAAAUAGCCCUAUUUUGCAAAAAUGGUCGAUGUGGCCAAAUAUGGCUAUACAUGCAAGAUUUGGCUACGACCACGAAAGCCAUGAACCUAAGACUUACUAAAAAGAUCGGACUCUAUGUGGGCUACAUAGGUAUCCCUCCCUAAAAGACGAGAAUCCUAUUCGCGUAGUUCGGGAAGAUUGGAUAUGGGAAAAAGCUUUAAAAAAAUAACACUAAUUUGGAAAAAACAUAUUUUUUAUCUUUUUGAAAAUGAUGAAAAAUGUAAAAUAUUUUUGGAUUUUUUCUCUAUUUCUUUGAAUUUUGAAAAAUGGUGGGAAAGUGUAAAAAAAAUUUGGGUUUUUUUUUAUUUUUAUUUUUGGAAAACUAUGAAAGAAAAAUGUGAGUGGGUCCUAUUUGCUCAUUUUAUAUUUCACCCUCAAAUAUUUUUAUUCUGCCAAAUUUACUUUUUUACCCCUAAAGAGAUGUAGCUUGUAGCACAUAUGGAUGAUUAAAUGUCUUUUAGGGCUAUAAGCCCAUAUUGUCAUAACUUGGUUAGGCAUCCUACAGCAGGACAUGGUGCCUGGGACCGAACCCUGCUAGGUUUAAAUGACAUGAUACAUACAUGCAUUAUCUAAAGGCUGACCUGCGGUUGAGGUUCACAUAACAAGGCAAUUUGGGGCGGCACGUGAUCGAUGGCGGCUGCUCUAGCUGUCCACUCCACGCUCCCACGCCACCCCCCCAAAGACACGGGAGACUCAUAAAAAGGCCGUGUACGCUCAAACAUACUCCGGAAAACUUGUUGCAGAAAGAAGACUCAUGGUUAUGCAAAUGAUGACAAUUUAGAAAGGAGUAACUGCAUAAAGAAAAUAUUAUAAACAAAUAAGCAACUAGAAAAUAAAAUGACAUAAACAAAAUAAAAAAUAAAUAAAGUAAACAAAACACAUAAAAAGCUCAACCGAAUAUCCUAAAAAGAUAAAAAGAUCAAGUACUAGUUCGAACAUGCAACGUCCCCACCGGAGUCGUCAGAGAUGUCACACCCGUUUUUCUAACCUCACUUAACCCUCUUAAAAUAUUAAAAAGAUUCUAUAAAGCUCAAAAGGGUUUUUAAUUAAAAAGUAACAAAAAUUUGUGUUCAAAAGGAUUAACUCAGAGCCGCCACUUGAUUUUUGAUUUUGGUAUGCCAGGUCACCAUUUUUUAAAAAUUUUCCAUUUUGAAACACUUUGAACUCUUAAACUAAGUCUGCACCAGAGAUUUAGGUAAGGGUGUUCAUUUGACUCGGGGAGAGGAUGUUAGGCACUCCCCAAUUUCCGUAAAAGUCACGGUUGCGUACUCGAUCUUGUUGACAUUAAAAAUAUUCAAAUUGAGUCAUAGAAAAGGAAAAUAAACAUAAAAGAGGCUCGAGGUUGUCCCCACCAAAAUGAAAGAAGAUUAAAAAAACUAAAAUUAAAGUUCUAAAUUAUCCUAUGCUACUUCUUCAACGAUGUUCACCAUGGCCUCCAAUUACAGAAUACUACUGGGUAUUUCCCGGGAUAAAAAAUUUACAAAUGCUUUGGGGCAUUCUCUGAACAAAUUUAACUAAGGGAACGAUUCCUAGCCUUGAAACUAACAAAAAUCCUAAGGCUUACCUAUCCAAGUGAAACCGGCCUAAGCAUGCUCCUAGUCGUUCGAUUAAUGAAACAAGAAAGAGAAUAGUAGCAUGAAUUAUUUUGAUCCAGCAAAUACUCUUUCAUUAACUUGUUAAACUCAAAACGUUUAUCCAAAUCUCUCUGAACCAACUUCUGCUCGAACAUCACUGGGACCAAACCCAUACGAGUUUUAACUACAUUAUCCCAUUUGCAUCAUAUUUUCAUGAAAUCAAUUAAGGGGGUUUAACUAGUUAAUAGAUACAAAGAAUACAAACCAUAAAAGUAGACCAAACAGAGAAAUCAAAUUGCAGACAAAUAAUCAAACAUAGAAAACAAUUGGAGUGCAUUACAUCUUCACCCAAUAUCCACAAAAAUAACAAGAAACAUUCAAAAGGCAGAGAAUCAGACCUUUAGCUUUGCUUUUCCAAUUAACGAGAACCUCCAACAUUAGAAAUUCUAUUUGGAUGUAAAAUUUCUAUGGGACAGACUGGAACCUUGACCGCGGACGCGGGCGAACUUCGAAUUCGAACCUCGAACAGACCUCAAAUCGCCGGGAUCCUCAGACUACGAUCUUAACUCUGUUGGCCCAACAUUGCAGCUGCUGAUGCAUCGCCAACAUGUGGUAAGGCAGUAGCACUAGUUGGUAUCGAGAGAAAUGGAGAAGUCAGUAGAAGCUCGGCUGAUUGAAAGGAUCGACGAAGCUUGAAAAUCUUAUGUGUGGCUGAUUUUCGGUGUUCUUUGUGUGUGUUUCUGUUUACCUGGGUGUGUGUUGCGGCUGAAGGAUCCGAAAAAUAGAGGAGGGAUUCAUUUGCCGUGGUAGAGGAUUCAAGAGUAGUUUGCCAUCGAUGAUGAAAUCCGACAGCGACAGUAACGGUCGUAAGUCAAUUAAGAGAGAAGCUUCGUUUGGGUGGUGGAUGGCUAGUCUAGGUUCGAAAUGGAGAGGGUGGAAACAGGUUAAGAAGGAGAAAGGUCAUUGGUUGAGGGCUGGUACUGGCUGUGGUCGUUUGGUAUUUGUGGUGUGUAUUUGAGAGGGGGGAGUUGGUGUGUUUUUGAUGAUGUAGAGAAGCAACCACUGGUAGAGUUAGGUUGGAAUAUGGCCGAUAUCUUGGGAGCUAGGGUGGGAAGCUCUCAGGGUGUUCGACUGAAUGGUUCUCUUGGUUAAGAAGAUGAGUCUUAGGUUAGGGAAAGGUAUAGUGGGCUAAGAAGGGUGUGAGCCAAGGGCACAACUGAAAUGGACUUCAAAAUUGGAUUAU
rnacentral:lncRNA from 1 species